UGUUCUGUGGCAUAGUUGGUUAAAGCGCCGGUAUAGCGAAGACGGGGUCGUUGGUUGGAAUCCCACCAGAACAC
rnacentral:tRNA from 1 species